rnacentral:rRNA from 1 species
UACGGGGGGGGCAAGCGUUGUUCGGAAUUACUGGGCGUAAAGGGCUCGUAGGCUGCCAACUAAGUCGGACGUGAAAUCCCUCGGCUUAACCGGGGAACUGCGUCCGAUACUGGAUGGCUUGAGUUUGGGAGAGGGAUGCGGAAUUCCAGGUGUAGCGGUGAAAUGCGUAGAUAUCUGGAGGAACACCGGUGGCGAAAGCAGGCUACUGGACCAUCACUGACUCUGAUCUGCGAAAGCUAGGGGAGCAAACAGG